CGAACGCUGGCGGCAUGCCGUAACACAUGCAAAGUCGAACGAAGCUUCGGGCUUAGUGGCGCACGGGUGCGUAACACGUGGGAAUCUGCCCUUCGGUUCGGAAUAACAGUUAGAAAUGACUGCUAAUACCGGAUGAUGACGAAAGUCCAAAGAUUUAUCGCCGAAGGAUGAGCCCGCGUAGGAUUAGGUAGUUGGUAGGGUAAUGGCCUACCAAGCCGACGAUCCCUUAGCUGGUCUGAGAGGAUGAUCAGCCACACUGGGACUGAGACACGGCCCAGACUCCUACGGGAGGCAGCAGUGGGGAAUAUUGGACAAUGGGCGAAAGCCUGAUCCAGCAAUGCCGCGUGAGUGAUGAAGGCCUUAGGGUUGUAAAGCUCUUUUACCAGGGAUGAUAAUGACAGUACCUGGAGAAUAAGCUCCGGCUAACUCCGUG
rnacentral:rRNA from 1 species